UAGGGAAUCUUCCACAAUAGACGAAGUCUGAUGGAGCAACGCCGCGUGAGUGAAGAAGGGUUUCGGCUCGUAAACUCUGUUGUUAAAGAAGAACAUAUCUGAGAGUAACUGUUCAGGUAUUGACGGUAUUUAACCAGAAAGCCACGGCUAACUACGUGCCAA
rnacentral:rRNA from 1 species